CGCUCUUGUAAAACUGACGCCAUUAAACUGGGAGCACGCUGUCGCCAGUUGAGCAAAGAGCUAAGAAAGUAAUCGGACAAAGAACGUGAACAAAAGUAGGAAGAAUGUCAACCAAGAUAUUCAUUGGCAAUUUGAGCCAUGAAGCUCAAGAAGAUGACCUCAGACCAAUAUUUGAAAAAUAUGGUUCUGUUUCUGAAUGUGCUGUUCUCUCCAGUUAUGGAUUUGUGCAUAUGGACGAUGAGGAAGAAGCCAAGUCAGCUAUUGAAGGGUUAAAUGGUUAUAACAUCCGUGGUUUAAGAAUAAGAGUCGAGAUAUCACAUGGGAAAAAAGGAGAUGGGUCGAAACGAGGCCGUGGCGGCGGAGGAUUCCGUGGAGGACGAGGAGGUAGAGGUGGCCCCCGAGGAGGGGGAGGUAGAGAUCGUGGUGGUCCCUCAAGACCAUCCCCUUAUGAUCGUUACCCAGCUCCCUCUUCCUAUUAUGAUAGAUAUGAUCCUUACUCAAGGUAUCCAUACCCAGAACGAGAUUACUACAGGGCCCUUCCACCAAGGGAUCCUUACCGAGUUCCCCCAACAGACAGAUAUUCAGCACCACCCAGGGAAAGAUAUCCAGAAAGAUCGCUUCCAGAGCGUUACCCAUCGCCGUAUGAAAGGGAAAGAAUGCCAACACGAGAUGCCAGAUCAGCAUACCCAGCUGAGCGUAUUUACGAUAGAACACCAGUUGAGCGAGAUCCCUAUUAUGGUAGAGAGAGGGCAGCCAGCGACUAUUAUAGACAGUAGAUAAUUAUUUUUUCAGGGAUGCAGAUCCCCCUCCACAUGGGGGCAUCAAUGGUGCAACAGCGAAUAAUGGAUACGAUUCAUACAGACCUCUAAGAUCAUCUGGAGGAUCCGGAUAUGGAGAAGAAUCUGGAAGAGCAUAUGGUCGAGGAACACCUGGUAACAGCCAAUCAGAAUUACAGACAGAUGCCAUCUUCUUCUAGUUAAUCAAAAUGUAUUGUAUAUUUGUAAGGGCUUUUUCAUUUUAAGAAAAUAAUACAUAUUCGUCAAUCGCUUUGCAAAUAGAAUCCUCAAUACCUGGAAAUCCUUCAAACUCGAUUUUUUUGUCACUGACCAUUAGAAUCCUAUAAUACAAAAUAAACCCAGUUAAAGAAAGUUGAAGAUAAAAAUGCCAUGCAGACUUUUUUUCAAAAAUGGAACGAUCCUGAAAGUCCUUCAUGGCAUUUAAAGAGUUGUCAUGUCAGUAUAAAUAUAUAUGUAUAUGUGAAUUUGCAAAUUUUUAUUUAAAAUGUCCUCCAUUUGUAUUAGCUGAAGAGUUGUGUAUGUUGAAACGUUGAAGUUAUUUAUUAAUCACUACUUAAGCACCAUGUUAGCCACCAUUUAAUCUCUGUAUUGUAAAUCAGAAUCUUAAGUUCCUUUUUUAUUAUUUUGGAAAUAGUAAUUUUUUUUAAUAGCAAUUUGUAUAUCAUUCUUGAGCUUGUAUAUAUUUCAUUUUUAUCAUAGAUUAAUCAUGCUGAUAGAACAAAACAUGCUUGCCAGAACAAGAUCCAAUAGGUUGUUUUAUGAUAGUACUAACAAAAUGUAACCAUAGUUGGUCUUUUGUUUUUGAUUUAAAUGUGAUAGAUUGAUUAGUCAAAUAACAACUUGCAGAUCUUAUUUUAACACUAAACCCAACCUUUUAGUCAUCUGGUCACAAUACAGGUCUUGAUGAUCUGGGAAUGUGGCAUGAUCAUUUUCUAGGCAUUGUAAGGGAGGUAACCAAUGUACCAUUCUUCCGUUUUUAUUUGUCACCCUUUAAAAUGCUGUUAAAGAAAGUACUGUAUAUUUCUACCAGACGUAAAUAUUUUGUAUUUUUUUCUUUGGGUUUUAUCACCUCCAUAAUGUUGUCAUUUUUGUGCUAAAAUACUGUUGUAAUCAUGUAGAGAAUAUAACAAUUGGAAAUAUAUCAAA